rnacentral:rRNA from 1 species
UACGGGGGGGGCAAGCGUUGUUCGGAAUUACUGGGCGUAAAGGGCUCAUAGGCGGCCAACUAAGUCAGACGUGAAAUCCCUCGGCUUAACCGGGGAACUGCGUCUGAUACUGGAUGGCUUGAGAUUGGGAGAGGGAUGCGGAAUUCCAGGUGUAGCGGUGAAAUGCGUAGAUAUCGGGAGGAACACCAGUGGCGAAGGCGGCUUUCUGGUCUGUUCUUGACGCUGAGGCGCGAAAGCUAGGGUAGCAAACGGG